CCCGGCAAUGAAUUGCCGGGCUAUUUUCAAAAGUCCCUAUGGGACU
rfam:Desulfobacteraceae bacterium IS3 Ga0073107_10427, whole genome shotgun sequence.